UACAGAGGUCUCAAGCGUUGUUCGGAUUCAUUGGGCGUAAAGGGUGCGUAGGCGGUCGUGUAAGUCGGAUGUGAAAUCUCAGGGCUCAACCCUGAAACUGCAUUCGAUACUGCAUGGCUAGGGUACUGGAGAGGAGACUGGAAUUUACGGUGUAGCAGUGAAAUGCGUAGAUAUCGUAAGGAAGACCAGUGGCGAAGGCGAGUCUCUGGACAGUUACCGACGCUGAGGCACGAAGGUCAGGGGAGCAAACGGG
rnacentral:rRNA from 1 species